CCCUUAGAUGUUCUGGGCUGCACGCGCGCUACACUGAUGCGCUCAACGAGUUUUAACCUUGCCUGGAAAGGUUGGGUAAUCUUUUUAAAACGCAUCGUGAUGGGGAUAGAUUAUUGCAAUUAUUAAUCUUCAACGAGGAAUUCCUAGUAAGCGCGAGUCAUCAGCUCGUGCUGAUUACGUCCCUGCCCUUUGUACACACCGCCCGUCGCUGCUACCGAUUGGUUGAUCUGGUGAAUUAUUCGGACUGCCGGCUGAAGGGGUUUCCUCAUCUGCCAGCGGAAAGUCUUGUUAACCCUAUCAACUAGAGGAAGCAGAAGUCGUAACA
rnacentral:rRNA from 1 species